UGGGGAAUAUUGGACAAUGGGCGCAAGCCUGAUCCAGCCAUGCCGCGUGAGUGAUGAAGGCCUUAGGGUUGUAAAGCUCUUUCGCCGGUGAAGAUAAUGACGGUAACCGGAGAAGAAGCCCCGGCUAACUUCGUGCCAGCAGCCGCGGUAAUACGAAGGGGGCUAGCGUUGCUCGGAAUCACUGGGCGUAAAGCGCACGUAGGCGGAUCGUUAAGUCAGGGGUGAAAUCCUGGAGCUCAACUCCAGAACUGCCCUUGAUACUGGCGAUCUCGAGUUCGAGAGAGGUUGGUGGAACUCCGAGUGUAGAGGUGAAAUUCGUAGAUAUUCGGAAGAACACCAGUGGCGAAGGCGGCCAACUGGCUCGAUACUGACGCUGAGGUGCGAAAGCGUGGGGAGCAAAACAGGAUUAGAUACCCUGGUAGUCCACGCCGUAAACGAUGGAUGCUAGCCGUUGGGGGGUUUACCUCUCAGUGGCGCAGCUAACGCCUUAAGCAUCCCGCCUGGGGAGUACGGUCGCAAGAUUAAAAACUCAAA
rnacentral:rRNA from 1 species